rnacentral:sRNA from 1 species
AUUUUUGUUUGUAUCGUUAAGAGCGGUAUUCGAUAGCAAACUGAACUGAACUCACAUUCAAGGAUGCCUGACAAGGCUCUCUAACUCGAAAUGAGAUCUAAACCUGAAAAUAGUCCACUGGCUGCAAAAAAGGGCAUAAGUUCAAUACUUAAUAACUUCUCGAAAGUGUGAUGGAGGGCGUUAGAGAAAGUGCAACAAUAAGGGUAUUCAUAGAACGUGUUGGAAUGGGAUGUAUAGCCGAGUUUCUGUAGAUCAACAACUUCAAAAGAAUAUUCUCUUAUUACAUAAUGCUACCGUCCCUAGUAGGAAUAAAUGUAGCAGCUCGAAUAUUAAUCCGUUGUUUAAUUGACUGUUAAGAAUUCCAUAGGUGGUAGGGAUGGAGAUUAUAUAAUUGCAUAAACUCUGCUAAGACAGAGUAUGUACUAUUACACUCUUUUUAGUUUCGCAUUAUACUUUCAUUAUGAGGUUUUAAGCAGCUUUAAGCAUGUUAAAUGGAAUACAUUUGGUUUUGACAGUAUUGCAAAGUUUGUGGGGAUACUCCUUUUUUGCCUGCUGCCUCUAUUCAACUAAUUCUUUAACACUGAAUUUCCGUCAUCUAUCCUAAGAAAAUUCCUGUUCCCAAAUCCUACGCAGAACAUCGGCCAAAAUCGAUCUUAUGCUACCUUUCUAAAGUAGAGAGAAAAUAAUACGUAAUCAGAUCGUGAAUCGUUAUUAACGACUGUGGAUUGAUGUUUUAUAUAUUACCAGCGUAUUACUUGAAGUGUCCGUGUAAAUUCGGAGGGAUAUUGACACCAACCAAAACCAUUUCCUUGUCCUGCUCGACCAUUCUACAGUAUUUGUCUCAGUUGAUCCUCAUAAUUUGAUUUUUAAAGUUUAACGAUUUUCCAUCCAUAAGACUUUAGAGUCUGACCCAUCUAAAUUUAUGUAAAACGUCGAUCGAUUUAUUCUGCCGACAAAGAAUGAGAACCUUUGACAGUGAGUAGGGAUUUCUGCAUGAAUCUAUUAUAGGUCCACUUGUUUCCUCAACAGAUCAUUUGCGAUCCUUUCCAAAUAAUCUAUAGUCGAAUUCAUAUUUAUGCAAAUGACGUGCAAAUUUUCUUAGCUCAGGACAGGACGUUAGUCAGGAAGGGUUUAUGUUUAUUGUUGGCUCAUCGCAAAUACUUUUUUUUCUUAACAGUCAUAAAUGAAAAUUGUCAAGUUUUCACAAGAAUAUGAUUCUCCUUACGAAACAUAUCCAUUCUUGUUAAUAGAGAGAAAAAAGAACCUUAAAAACUAAAAACCUAUGCGAAAUUACAGACUUUAGCGUUCGUAAAUUGGUCGUGGCAUUCAAUUCUAUUUUACGUUAUUUAUUGGCUUGGGUUAAGAAGAAAUCUGCGAUAUUUCCAAAUUUAGUUUAUGAUGUGUAUUUAAUAUCUCUAUUGAAUGUAAGAGGCACAUCAACCAAGAUAUAUUUUUGAUUGACUCAAAUUUGUUAGGUCUAAUAUAGGAAAAAGAGUCAUACGCUUGAGACGGAAACCAAAGUAUCGAAGUGCCAAUUUUUCAAUAGUUCAAUACGUUAUUGGAAUACUCUUCCUUAGCGAUUACAAAGCAUCAGAAAUGUAUCUGCUUUUAGAAACAAACCUUACUUUUUCCAAAACCUGGAAUGUGAUACUCACGUACAGGAAAACGAAUCACUGUUGAUUUAUAUUUAUAUUCAUUCACGUGAAAAAUAUUUCUUUAGUAAGGUUGAAAAAAGUUAGCAGAUAUUAAUCUGUCUCAGGCCACUAUUAACAUACAACGAAGCCAGUGAUCAGCUCGUUUUGCGCUCUCAAUACUAAAAAUAUGCCUUCGUAAACAUCUUACGAAUACCCCUAAUUUUUUCGCAAUCCAUGCCUCUGAUUGCCGUGAAAACCGACUAAUUACAUAAGAAAUGCUCCAAAAUUUCAUUAUCUUUUCUACAGUCAUCACUACAAAAGUUCCCACAAACAUUCGAUUAAUUAACAGCCCGUCAAACUCUUCACAUAACAAAGGGAGCUGUACGACUGAAUUUUGUUUUUAUGCUCAAUCGGAAGGGGCCUCCUUUUUUAUAGCUGAGUCCAAACGAGGUGCCUCAAUGCAACACCUGCCAUACCAUUUUUUCAAAUAGCACUGUACCUCACAGCAUUAGAAAUUAGGAGGGGAUCAUAGUUCGCCUAUGCUGACACAUGCUAACAUUUGUCACACCCUUCCUGUAAAACUGAGCUGGUAGUCCUAUGUGUCCCGUGAUCAUACCGAAAGCUUCACUGAUCUCCUUCUUACUCCUUUUGAGUAAUAGUCUCAGUUAGCAUCCAUAGUAGGUUAUUUUUGGUGUUCAAUCAUAGAGGUGGUGACGAAAUACCCUCCACACAAUUUUUCUACAUAGGACCCGUUACUGGUUUUAAGACUGCAUCAAUGCGUCGUUCGGCACAUUGUUAAAAUAUUUGUUAAGGUCCAUGUGACUUUAACGGUUAGAGCUCAAUUAAGAUGCAAUUUUUGUCCGAUUUUUUUAAAUGCGAUGUAUGAGGAAUAGAGAUGCUCUUCAAUAAUCGCAAAAAAAACGGACCAGAUACAAGUACAUACAAGUUUUUUCUACGAUUUAACUUCUUAAGCCCUAAGAAGCCUGCAUUUUUGUCGAAGUUUACUGAAAUUUACACCGAAAUAUUAUUUAAGCUUCGAUUGCACACGAUAACAGACAAUAAAUCACACGUCGGUAACACCGGAACCCUAAAUUCACUCUGGUUUCAAUUGUCUAUUCGUUUAGAUACUUCGUGCAAACAACCAAACAAUUUGGCAACACUGUCCAUGGCUAUUAAUCACAUUUAAACAUUUGACAUUUUGGUUUGAAAUCGAUUAACGGUAGAAUUGCCCAAAGUCAUUAAAGAAUUUUUUAUUUCAACACAAAGUACGUGUAUGUGUAUGUGAAAGUUGCUUCAAAGAACUUCAAAAUUCAACGUAGCAAAUAAUAAAAUUGAUCUCACAUCACCACAA